rnacentral:lncRNA from 1 species
UAUUUCUACUUGUAGAAACAAUGAGCACAUAAAUGUGGGCAUCGUGGGUUUUUAACCAAUCUCACCCUAACUCUUAGUACCACGAUUCUUAUUUUUUAUAUUGAAUUCAGAAAUUGAGCUUCUAUAAACUAUUCAGUUACAAAUCACAUGUUAUCAUCAAAUGCCCCCACCAUCCCAACCAAUGUUCUUCGUGGGCCUAUCUACAAGGUCAUAAACGAGAGUGAAUGAAUGGUUUAUGACAGUGGCUAUUAUUAC